rnacentral:lncRNA from 1 species
GGCAAAGCAUUACACGCCUAUGGAUUGUUGAGAGAGUACCUGUCUAGCUGCAGCGGAGCAGUGUGUGUUUGGGGCGGGGGGACGACCGUGAACUUGGAGGUGCCUGCCUCCUAAGCAUAUGGUGGCAGAGAAGAGGCUUCCUCACGUCUUUUGUGUUUCAUUCCACAGGGACAGAAUUUCUGUCCCGUAGCCAAUGGUUGAUGUCCCUGUGUAUUUAACGUUAGUGUGGAGUGUUGCUCUGUGUCAGGCUCUGUUCUGGGAGCUGAGAAGAAGCUAAGCCUGUUGACUACAGACUCUGGAUGCUGGUGCCUCCUUGGUAAGAUCCUGUAGGUCUGCACGAUGAGCUGGGUGCCUUUCUUGAGCAUGACAGUGUGGGUGGGCCUGGACAUGACGCUUGGAGCUAAGGUUCCGUACACAUGUCGCAUCAGGAUAAACACAGAGAAGAGAGAUAAAAUGUAUAUAAACACACCACACAUUUGUGGAAGUGCAAGAUUUUCUCUGGCUGGGCAAUCAGGAAAUGCUUCCUGGAUUGAGGAAGCUUUGGCCAGACGUUGAAAGAAGAGUGGAGGGUCUGAGUCUGAGGAAAUGUGAGCAGAGGCAGGGAAAGGGAUGGGAAGUACCCGUGAACAGAGUGACGGUGACUAAUUUCUGGUUGCUGGGCAACAGUGUGUGUAGACGUGACUAACGGGAAGAGAAGCAGCAAAGGUCUGCUGAGGCCAGACCCAGGAGGGCUGCAAGGCUUCUGACUAAAGGAUAUAAACUGAACACCGCGUCACGAGAGCCGUUGAAGAAUUUCAGUCGGGGGGUGACAAUAGCAUCAUCUGGUGUCAGCGUGCGGGGUGGCCUGGGCAGUGAGAAAACCAGAGCCGGGGAAGGCCAGUGGAGCUGUCGUGAGAGGGUCUAGGAAGCAGGAGCAGAGGGCCUGCGUGAGGGGGCGACUGGAAUGGAGCAGACCGCCUGGAGGAGAGGGGGCGGCCGGUGGGCAGGAGGAAGGAAGCAACAUUCCUCCACAUCUUUCCACUCAGGUGCCAUUUGUUACUUCCGCGCCAUUUGCAGGCAUUUCCCGACGUUAUCUCGUGCGGUCUUAUCCUAAUCCUGUGAGGCUGGUAAUUUUGUCCUUACUUCAGAGAUGAGGAAACGAAGGCUCAAAGAAAGAUUUGUCCGAAAUGAGGACACAGCUGAUGGGCGUCGAGCAGCACAUCCCAGGCUAGGGGUUGAAUCAGAGCUGAAGACGCCAGGCUAUGCCACAGCCAUAGCAACACAGGAUCCAAGCCACGUCUGCAACCUACACCACAGCUCAGGCAACGCCGCAUCCUUAACCCUCUGAGCAAGGCCAGGGAUUGAACCUGAGUCCUUAUGGAUGCUGGUCAGGUUCGUUAACCACUGAGCCACGAUGGGAACUCCUGAAUUUCUUGCCUUUAACCUGAUCUCAGAAAGUGAAGUUGCUGUACAUUUUGAGAGGUUUUUCCUGCAGCAAAGGAAAACUGAGCACCAUCUAUUCGGAAAGGAGAGUGAUGGCUAAUUUUCUGUGUCACCUUAGCUAGAGCACAGUACCUAGAUAUUUGGUGAAACACCAGUCUAAAAAGUCUAAAAAUACCUGUGAAGGUGUUUUUAACUGAGAUUAAAUUUAAAUCAGUAGAUGUUGAGUAAAACAAAUUAUUCUCCAUAGUGGAUGUGGGCCUCAUCCAAUCUGUUGAUGUCCUUCAGAAAAAAAGAUUGUUGUCCCCCCAGGAAGAAGGAAUUCUGCCUCCAGAUGGCCUUCUGUCUGGAGACCACAGUGUCAUCUUUUCCUGGGUCACUAGCCUGCCCCAUAGUCACCUAAGUCAAUUCCUUGAAAUUCAACCUGCCAGUCUGUCUCUGCCUUUGUCUUUCUCUCUGCACACUCACACAUACCACAUCUUAUUCGCUGUCUUUCUCUGGAAAACCCUGACUCAUAGGGACAGGAAGAUACAGAUGUUGUGAAUUGUCCUGCUGCUGCUGAUAUUAGCCAAAAACUGCAUCCGGCCUCUCUAGGCAUUCUUGGUGUAGAUGUAUAUUGCUUGUUGUGUGGACAAGAAAGUGAAUUGUAGAAGGGAUGUGGUGCUCCCACUGUGAUGGAGAGAGCGAAUAAGAGAGCAAGGAGAGAACGCUGUUUGCCCAGGCAUGGUUCAGUUGCUCCCUUGCUCUUUGGCGCUCAUAUUCUCAUCAGCAGGAUAAUAAAGUUACUAGGUUGGCCGUGCAUAAUUAUUGCUCACAUUUAUGGAUGAUUUUCUAUAGGUCGGGUCUAGCUUAGUUGCUUUACAGAUGUUCAUGAUUUUAAUUCUUAGAACUACCCAUUGAGAUAGGGACUACCAUUGCCCCAAGUCCCAGAGAGCUUCUCGUAAGUAGAAACUAGAUAUUGUAUUCAGUACAAUUUAUACAAGCUUAUUUUUCCCUCUUAGAAAUAGUUAAGUUAUAAUGAUGAUGACCAAAAGAAUUACUGUCAAUGGAAGAAGCCUAAGAAUUUAUAUCCAGCUCAAGGCCUUGCAAGAAUGCAGAUUCAUUCAGUAAAAACUCAAUUAACAGCCUGCUUUAUUUCAGACUUCACUUCUUAGCUUUGGAAAGCUUCAAAGUAGGGCAGUUUACGUUUGGGAAUGACCAGUCAAAAUAGCAAGAUAGAUAUAGGUAAGAAUCUAAUGUUUUAAAAAUUUAAAUGGUAAGAGAUGGAGCAUGCAUCAAAACAGCUUGCUGGAGCUCUAAAAUUAAUAAAUACAUUUGAAAAGUGCACCCUCUCAGCCUUCUCAGACUCAGAAUUUGGGGGGUGUAGUUCCUCUUUUUGAAUCUCUUUUUUGAAUUGUUUAUGUUUUUAGUAAGGAGGAAGAAAAAGGUCUCCUUAAGAAGCCAUUAGGAAUUAAAAUUAAUUUCAGAAUUCAGUAUUGUUUAGAAUAUGGUGAAGACUGAUUUGAAAGGGCAGUGCCCGGUUUGGUCUUCCCUGGAAAAGAGGGACAGGCGUGGUCCCAGUCAGCCCAUCUUUGCCAUGGUGGGAAAAUGGCGUUGCUUUCAUUGUCGUUCUUUCAUUCCCUUCCUUGCCAAGCCCAGUGGCUUCUGUUACAACAUGUGGCAACUUCUCCCUUGGAGACUAACUCAGUCCAUGUUGCCAUAAUAUUUAAGGCCAGCUACAAAGGCAUAUCUUCCCCUAAACCCAUGCCAAAUCUAAAUCAAACUGUCUUCUCCUCCUUGGCCAUUUCAAGAGAUCCAGCUCCUGUUUGAAAAUCACGAGAAAUGCACAGGUCCCUUUUUGUUUCCUUGCCUGUUCCAACAGGUAAAUAAACAAGGCACAUCAUGCCUAGUGCUGCUUUGAUCUUGGUUGCUUCCUUCUAAAAUAGAUUCUGGGGCGUUCCUGUUACGACACAGCAGAAACAAAUCCGACUAGAAUCCAUGAGGUUGUGGGUUCGAUCCUUGUCCUUACCCAGUGAGUUAAGGAUUUGGUGUUGCUCUGAGCUGUGGUAUAGAUCACAGAUGCGGCCUGGAUCCCAUGUUGCUGUGGCUAUGGUGUAGGCUGGAAGCUGUAGCUCCAACUGACCCCACCCUGGGCACUUCCAUAUGGUGCGGGUGUGGCCCUAAAAAAAAAACAAAAAAAAAAAAA